rnacentral:rRNA from 1 species
GUGGGGGAUAUUGGACAAUGGGGGGAACCCUGAUCCAGCGACGCCGCGUGAGUGAAGAAGUAUCUCGGUACGUAAAGCUCUAUCAGCAGGAAAGAAAAUGACGGUACCUGACUAAGAAGCCCCGGCUAACUACGUGCCAGCAGCCGCGGUAAUACGUAGGGGGCAAGCGUUAUCCGGAUUUACUGGGUGUAAAGGGAGCGUAGACGGCAGCGCAAGUCUGGAGUGAAAUGCCGGGGCCCAACCCCGGAACUGCUCUGGAAACUGUGAAGCUGGAGUGCAGGAGAGGUAAGCGGAAUUCCUGGUGUAGCGGUGAAAUGCGUAGAUAUCAGGAGGAACACCGGCGGCGAAGGCGGCUUACUGGACUGUAACUGACGUUGAGGCUCGAAGGCGUGGGGAGCAAACAGGA